GCUAGCUUUAUCUUGGCCAGGUCACAGUUGUAAAUGAGAACUUGUUCUCAACUAGCCACCUGGUUAAAUAAAGGUGAAAUAAAAGAUUCAUCUGCAUCACAGUCAUCUUGUCCUCUCUCAGGAUCAGUUGGAUUCAUCAGUCAUCUCGUCAUCUCUCAGGACAGUAGGAUUCAUCUGUCAUCACAGUCAUCUCGUCCUCUCUCAGGAUCAGUAGGAUUCAAAUGUCAUCACAGUCAUCUCUCAGGGUCAGUAGGAUACAUCUGUCAUCACAGUCAUCUCAUCCUCUCUCAGGAUAAGUAGGAUUCAUCUGUCAUCACAGUCAUCUCGUCCUCUCUCAGGAUCAGUAGGAUUCAUCUAUCAUCACAGUCAUCUCUCAGGUUCAGUAGGAUUCAUCUGUCAUCACAGUCCUCUCUCAGGAUCAGUAGGAUUCAUCUGUCAUCACAGUUAUCUCGUCCUCUCUCAGGAUCAGUAGGAUUCAUCUGUUCUCACAGUCAUCUCGUCUCUCUCAGGAUCAGUAGGAUUCAUCUGUCAUCACAGUCAUCUCUCAGGUUCAGUAGGAUUCAUCUGUCAUCACAGUCAUCUCUCAGGUUCAGUUGGAUUCAUCUGUCAUCACAGUCAUCUCCCUC
rnacentral:lncRNA from 1 species